CAGUGCAACAGUAUUGUCAUAGCAG
rnacentral:miRNA from 1 species